GCUGGCUGAGUGUAAAUACAUGGCUCUGAGUGUAAGCACCUUUUCACUAGAAACUUUCYGUGUUAAAAUUACCGUCAGUGCGAAAUAGAUAGAAAGCUUUCGAUUUCAACUUGGCUGCACCUACGGUUAUGAGAACGAUAAAUCAAGUGCAAUACCUGCGUCGACCUGUGACGUGCAGCAAAACACCGGAAAGCUCCUAGCCUACUCUACAAGAAGAACAAUAAUGGUUACCUCAUCCGGUCAUGUGACAUUUGUUUAUAGAUUUUCUGUAUUCAUCUUGUGACAUCUCCUUGGAAGAAGGAGAGAGGGACCCGAGGAGGGACGUAAAGGAGUUGAUGAAAUCCUGUCAAGACAGACAAUCAGAUGGUAUGGCCUCUGAGGACCCCCAAGACCAACUGWAUGAGGCUAUUAAAAAGGUAGAACGCCUUGCUGAGGAGCUCAACUAAGAGAAGGACCCACAAGCCCAACUGGACAAGGCCAUUAAUGAGGCAAAAAGGCUGGCUGAGGAGCUCAACCCAGAACAGCUCCAAGGGCCAGUACAUCAAGACUAGUGCAACAUUUUGGGCCAGUCACUGAGGAGGAAGAAUCAGAGACAAGGACCAGUGGAUUGGAAUCCACUCCAGUUUAAACAUUGAUGAAGAAAUAGAACGGAAUGAUCUGUGAGGACACUUUUCAAAAAUGCUUCUUUGAGUGGACGUACUGCCGCUCUGAAAUUGAUCAAGUCUGCGAUAUGUUCCCCCUGUUCCCCCGGCAUGCUUGCCGUGUCAGUGGAUGGGAACAAGAAGCUGUAUCGAUUCAAAACAGGUCAAUCUCCAACUUCUGAUCUCCAUUGUAGCAAACACAGGGGGUAGCUCAGCGCCCUCAGCCAGAUUUUUAAAAACCUAACCACUGUCCCGUUAACACCAAAGUUGCUGUCUGCCGCCACAGAAUAACCAAACAGAACCUCUACCGUCAGGCAGAUGGAUGCAAGACCCUCUGCACAGAAAGAUAUUGGAAGAAAAGGCCAAAUUGACAGCUGCCAUAGAGGAGUACAACACCCUUGUACCAGAUUCAGCAAUACCAUCUGCAGACCUUCAUGCAUGGCCUUGGGAGCUGCAUGGACAAACUGACCUACUCACAAAGAAAAUAGCCUUUGACCGGGUGAUGCUCCUGAGACGGCUGAAGGAGGAAGAGUUAAUUGUCCUAAAGGAAGUCAAGCAGCACUGGGAAAGCCUAAAGAGGGAAUCGGAGAAUGUGCAAGACCUUGCUUCACAUGUGGCACCUGACCUAAGCAGGCAAAGCUGGCAAUUGUAUCAGUCGGAAGCUGGGAGCAGAGGUCCCUUCUCCAUGCUUCAGAGGAGAGUCAGCAGCCUCAGAAGACACCAGGACUGUCAAAAUGAUAUACAGCAACGCUAUGGGCUAAGACACCGCCCUCCUAAAAAAUAACUUCAUAGAUGACCUCCUGGAAGAGGACCUAGAUGACAUCUAUGACAGCAUCCACUACAGCUCUGAUGACAAAAAUCUAUCACAGUCUGAAGGUGUUCGUUUGGGUGGGUGCAGUUUGCACUGGGUGAAAAGUGAUUCCAUUUGUUUUGCAUAUGUGCUUUAUCUGCCUUCCUAAGGAAAAAUUGUUUGAACAUUUUAUGGAAAAUAAACUUUUAUGUUUCUUCCUUGUU